rnacentral:rRNA from 1 species
GAUGAACGCUGGCGGCGUGCCUAAUACAUGCAAGUAGAACGCUGAAGGAAGGAGCUUGCUCUUUCCGGAUGAGUUGCGAACGGGUGAGUAACGCGUAGGUAACCUGCCUGGUAGCGGGGGAUAACUAUUGGAAACGAUAGCUAAUACCGCAUAACAGUAGAUGUUGCAUGAUAUCUACUUAAAAGGUGCAAUUGCACCACUACCAGAUGGACCUGCGUUGUAUUAGCUAGUUGGUGAGGUAACGGCUCACCAAGGCGACGAUACAUAGCCGACCUGAGAGGGUGAUCGGCCACACUGGGACUGAGACACGGCCCAGACUCCUACGGGAGGCAGCGGUAGGGAAUCUUCGGCAAUGGACGGAAGUCUGACCGAGCAACGCCGCGUGAGUGAAGAAGGUUUUCGGAUCGUAAAGCUCUGUUGUAAGAGAAGAACGAGUGUGAGAGUGGAAAGUUCACACUGUGACGGUAUCUUACCAGAAAGGGACGGCUAACUACGUG